rnacentral:rRNA from 1 species
GACGGAGGAUGCAAGCGUUAUCCGGAAUGAUUGGGCGUAAAGCGUCCGCAGGUGGCAGUUCAAGUCUGCUAUCAAAGACCGGGGCUUAACUUCGGAAAGGCAGUGGAAACUGAACAGCUAGAGUAUGGUAGGGGCAGAGGGAAUUCCUGGUGUAGCGGUGAAAUGCGUAGAGAUCAGGAAGAACAUCGGUGGCGAAGGCGCUCUGCUGGACCAUAACUGACACUCAGGGACGAAAGCUAGGGGAGCGAAUGGG